GUGUGUGGUGUGUGCCUGGUCUCAGGCCUAUCCGAAGAUCGGAAAUAAUGAGCUCUGAGCUCGUUCCGUAAGGUAACGUCUGGCUGUCUCGUCAGAGACUGCAGCAGAUCAAACAGUGAAACACGUUAUGCAAUCUAAUGAUUGAAACAACGAUGGUUUGUGUGUGUGUGUGUUUACAAGGAAUAUACAAGGAAUCCUUGGUGUUUUAUGUCCUGGGCUAUAACGCCUGUAGGUAACUUAAACAGUAUUGGAAGUGCUGUUAAGCUUCCACCCAUUAGUGGCGCAGGCAAUUUCAUUUAUAGUGGUAUCCAUGUUAGGGCCCAUAUCACCACCCAAGCGUAUUUUUGGUGUAACCUCCUAGAACCUGGGUAUCAUGGUGACAAUCCCCUAUGUAGGGGGACCUCCCUACAACCCCUCAAUAACAACAACAAAGGGUGAGAUCAAGGAGGUUAUGUUGAUGGAGAUGCCGCCCGCCUAUCCAGCUGUACUUAAAAAGUAAAGCUAUAUAGUGGGCAGAGCUUACGAUCGUAACUUACACCCAAAACAUUGCCCUCUCCCGUGUUAAGUAAUGGGAAAUUACCGCUUUCUUUUUCAUUACUAGAGGAAAACUAAGAACUGAAGGUUUAACUUAUGUAAACCACAUUAUAAUUUCCUAAAUAAGUCGUGUAAACCUGUUAUUAACGAUGUUAGUCCAAUAUAGCUGUAAUAUUGAAAGAAAUACAGCAGGACGUUUCCGGGAGAAAUUAUGGCAAAAAGGUUACUUUUUCUCGUUUAAUGCAUGACAAGGAAUAAAUAGUGAAGUGAAAUUUCAGUGCAAUGAUGAUUGAUGCUUUUCCACCGUAGAGUGACAUGAAAGCUAUAAAGAGAGAGAGAGAGAGAGAGAAUUUUGACGUGUUAUGUAAUUGUUAUACCAAGAAAAAUCAACCUUCAGCCCGUUUCACCUAAUAUACAUUUUACUUAUCCUUCAUUUAAAUACACAUGUAUAUAUAUAUGUCUAAAUCUAUACAUGCACAUGUGUACAUGACCUUGUUCAGUCAUACGUUUGUUCCUAAGACAGCUUCCCACCUCUCAUCUAAGUCCACCAAAGCUGGAAAACACUAUAUUUUCUCAUUUGUAUGGAUGAUUUACCGUCUAAAACUUCGUGGCACAGUAUGCUACGACUAUUGCGAGUCUUUUAAGGUCACAUAUAUGGUAGGCAGCUUCCAAACAUGGACAUAAGACUGAAAAUAAGGAGCAUAAUUUAGGCGUUCCCAUGUAUUUUCAAUUGGCCAUUGGCAAUGUUUUGGGUGUAGGGGGUAGGGGCAGCAGCGGACCAAUAACGCGCUGGGUUAACUUUUGCGAUGUCAUGCCGCUGCCUUGUAAUAACCUCCUUAGACGAGAUCUAUUUACGUAUAGCGAUUACUAGUUGGCUGUAAUCGACCAAUCGGGUGAAGACUUACAAACUAAAGGCAAGCGGACGUUUUAUAAUCCGAAAAAUUCGGUUUUACAAUUUUUCUCGGAAUGUAUCAUGCCAAGAAGAAUAUUUGCAAAAUAUUUGUAAAAAUGUGUGAGUUUUUAGAGACGAUGCAUGUGAGAUUGAGAUGGAGAUAAAGUGCACAAGAAAAUGCCCGUGGAUACGUCCCUCGCUAAGUAGAAGGAAAGAAAGGAGUGUCUACCACACACUAAUCUUUAGAAGACUAUGCACAAUUACAAUCAAAUUAAAUCCUGAGAAGUCUUCAAUUCUCACCUCUAACAACACCCUGCAUUGAGGGAAAAUUCUUGGAGAGUGGCAGCUAUUUCGUCGAAAGUCGAUUUGCGCAAGCUUUUUUCUACCUCACCAACUUUAACAUCUCUACACCGGGAGACCACAUUUUCAAAGCUUACUCCGUGAUGUCACAACGUGAAUAGAGUCUCAUAUCGACUGAACAAGACCAACAUGUUGGUCCUGUUUUGCGACUGAUUUCUCCAAUUGCUAAGGACCGAUAUUCAUUCGGAAACUCUACCGACUUGCAAUUUCAGUAGCAAAUUGGCACGUGUGAACCCGCCUUAAGUCCCACGCCUAUGCGUGAGAUAGUGAGAGUCAUUACGUUUCAUACAUUAGAUUUCAUAACGUGACCUGCCACCAGCAGCAGGUGUGUGUGUGUGUGUUAGAGAGAAGGGGAUGAAAGGGUGAGCUCAUGUAAGCUACCAGUUAAUUAGAAAAAAAGUGGGUGGAUCUUAUUUUAGGAGACUUGUCACCUUACCGUAAAAGUAGUAUAUUGUUAUUUCUACUAUAGUUUUACCAUUACUAUUCGUACUACUUCUGCAUACAGCCUCUUGUCGCACGAAAUAUUAUGGCAAGUGCAUCGUCCACAGUGGAAUGGGAACGGACUGGAUGGCCUUGAGAAGCGGUGGCUGGCGAGGAAUUUUAUAAGCAGUAACAAUAAUGAUUUAGCAGGUAAGGUGAUGGAAAUGUUAAAAUUACUUGCCUUAUUGUUCUUUUCUUUUUUAUAUUGAGUUGCAAUGAGUAACACUGAGCUGUAGGAGGAAGCAAUCUUAUGUUAAAUUCUCUGUGAACAUCUGCAUCACAGCCACAAGUCAGGCGGAUAUAAAGAUAUCCAUCCCCUGCCCGGUUUUAGUAAGGAUCUGUCAGCCUCACCAUGAAGUUUCUCACAGUUCUCACUCUCUGCUUCGCUCUCCUCAUCCUCCUGUUCUCCUCUGAAACAGCAGAUGGCUCUCCCGUCAGAAUUGUUAACAUUGUGAAACCACCGUGUCGCCGUUGCUACGUGUACUAUAACAGGAGGUGCAACUUCGACCCCUUCCAGUGUUCCUACGCCGACGCCUCGCCAAAUUCGCCUUACAGACUAACUUGAUCGCCGCCCCGAGAGAGAUUUGGACAUCCAUCAUCACUCGCACUUCCAGAGACACCUGUGCAGUGCAAGACAGAGAGGGUGAGGAUGGAGAUACUGUAAUAUUCAAAAGGACAACUGAUUUAGAAUUUACUUUUGUGCGAAAGGUGUAGGUAGUGCACACAGCUUUAGACAUUGGAAUGUAUGUCACUAUAUACACAGAUUUUAUGACGAUAUUGUGAGCACCUUUGUGUGCAUCAAUUAAUUAAAUUUCCCAUACAUGUAUUUCAAAAUGUUUUGAAAUAGCUAGGAGUAACAGUUAGUUCAAACUUCUCCCUAGACUCUUGUCAGGAUGCUUUUAUUAAGUUCCCCCAUAGACUUUUGUGAUGCAAGUUGUUGAAAUUUCCCCUAGACUGUCAAGCAACUUUUUCAGAAAAAUUUUAAUAUUCUAAGUUGAAAGUUUCCCCUAGACUUUUGUAAUGAAAAUUGUUAAGUUGAAAGUUUCCCCUAGACUUUUGUAAUGAAAAUUGUUUUGUAAUGAAAAUUGUUAAGUUGAAAGUUUCCCCUAGACUUUUGUAAUGAAAAUUGUUAAGUUGAAAGUUUCCCCUAGACUUUUGUAAUGAAAAUUGUUAAGUUGAAAGUUUCCCCUAGACUUUUGUAAUUAAAAUUGUUAAGUUGAAAGUUUCCCCUAGACUUUUGUAAUGAAAACUUUUGUAAUGAAAAUUGUUAAGUUGAAAGUUUCCCUUAAUGAAAAUUGUUAAGUUGAAAGUUUCCCCUAGACUUUUGUAAUUAAAAUUGUUAAGUUGAAAGUUUCCCCUAGACUUUUGUAAUUAAAAUUGUUAAGUUGAAAGUUUCCCCUAGACUUUUGUAAUGAAAAUUGUUAAGUUGAAAGUUUCCCCUAGACUUGAAAGUUCCAAAAAACUAAGACUUGUAAUAAAAAUUGUUGAUUGAAUAAAAAGUGAAGGAAGGGCGA